rnacentral:rRNA from 1 species
CCCUUAGAUGUCCUGGGCCGCACGCGCGCUACACUGAUGCAUUCAACGAGUUUUACCUUGGCCGAGAGGCCUGGGCAAUCUUUUGAACCUGCAUCGUGAUAGGGAUAGAUUAUUGCAAUUAUUAAUCUUGAACGAGGAAUUCCUAGUAAACGCAGAUCAUCAAUCUGCAUUGAUUACGUCCCUGCCCUUUGUACACACCACCCGUCGCACCUACCGAUUGAAUGGUCCGGUGAAGCCUCGGGAUUGUGGCGAGUUCCCUUUAUUGGGAGUUUGUCGCGAGAACUUGUCUAAACCUUAUCAUUUAGAGGAAGGUGAAGUCGUANCA